rnacentral:tRNA from 1 species
UAGCCUAGAGGUUAAGGCUAUGGAUCGCAAAUCCGAAGACGACGGGUUCGAUUCCCGU